rnacentral:sRNA from 1 species
UUUUCAAAAAGUUUAAAGCCCAUGUUGAGAAGGAGAGUGGUCUUGUGAUCAAAACAAUGAGAUCCGACCGUGGAGGAGAAUUUACAUCCAAGGAGUUUUUUUAAGUAUUGUGAAGACAACGGCAUUCGAAGACAAUUAACGGUGCCAAGAUCCCCUCAACAAAAUGGUGUAGCGGAAAGAAAGAAUAGAACAAUUCUUGAGAUGGCAAGGAGCAUGCUCAAAAGUAAGAGACUACCAAAAGAGUUGUGGGCGGAAGCGGUAGCGUGUGCGGUUUAUCUAUUAAACCGAUCUCCAACAAAAAGUGUCUCCGGAAAAACACCACAAGAAGCUUGGAGCGGAAGAAAGCUUGGUG